GUGAUUGUGGCUCAGUGGUAGAGUGCUUGCCUAGCAUGCAUAAAGACCUGGGUUCAAUCCUCAGCACCACA
rnacentral:tRNA from 1 species